CCUACGGGAGGCAGCAGUGGGGAAUAUUGCACAAUGGAGGAAACUCUGAUGCAGCGACGCCGCGUGAGUGAAGAAGUAUUUCGGUAUGUAAAGCUCUAUCAGCAGGAAAGAAAAUGACGGUACCUGACUAAGAAGCCCCGGCUAACUACGUGCCAGCAGCCGCGGUAAUA
rnacentral:rRNA from 1 species